rnacentral:rRNA from 1 species
GACGGAGGAUGCAAGCGUUAUCCGGAAUGAUUGGGCGUAAAGCGUCCGCAGGUGGCAGUUCAAGUCUGCUGUCAAAGACCGGGGCUUAACUUCGGAAAGGCAGUGGAAACUGAACAGCUAGAGUAUGGUAGGGGCAGAGGGAAUUCACGGUGUAGCAGUGAAAUGCGUAGAUAUCGUGAGGAACACCAGAGGCGAAGGCGGUUACCUGGACAGUUACUGACGCUCAGGCACGAAAGCAUGGGGAGCAAAAGGG